AGCAAAACACCUGAAUCACAGAGGGUGGAAAGAGAGCAAGUGCAGCAUGCAUCCAAGUCACAGCUACCGCUAUUGCAGGAUUCUCUUCCUCCACCGGUCCCAGCACCAAGACAAACCAGCUUCAUGCAAGCUGAAUCAGUUGAAAGGGAAAGAGCAAGUUCUCCUGAAAAGAGUGUCG